UUUGUUUCUUUUCAGGGUGGCUAGGAGUUCAUUCAAAUCUAAAAGACCAUCAGAUUACACGGAGACUUUGAGGAAGUUUAAAUGUGACUGUCAUAAAAACAAGGCAGACAUCAUUCCUAUAUGGCAGCCAAAUUAUUUAGAUUUAUGUCCAGCAAAAACAGAAAUUUUUACAAUAGGCUCAUGGUAUGGCGGUUGUUGGGUAGACUGGCCAUUUAGACAUCGUCAUUGUCCAUGGACAAGAUGUGUUAAUAAUCAUCGAUGCAGCCAUGUGACACCCAUAUUUGGACAUUCAUGGUGUGUGUAUACUCAGUACAAGAAGGUUUCCAUAUAUGCCCUUUGUUGGCAAGGAUCUCAUUGGCAGUACAAGAAAGUGUCCAUUAAGAUACCGACGUGUUGUGGGUGUAGAGUAUA